UGUUUCCCACAGUUCUUUGCGUCGCUCCGUUCCGUUUCCAGUUCCUUUCCUGCAGUGUAACGUGCUUCAGCUUAAACUCAAGGUUUAUUUCUCUGAUUUAUUGUUCAUUUCUCGACUCCUGAAGAAGAUUUUACUGCGCGGGUGAAGACUUUAAAUCGCCAACAUGCCGCGGAUUAUGAUCAAAGGAGGCGUGUGGCGCAACACUGAGGAUGAGAUUCUCAAAGCAGCUGUAAUGAAAUAUGGCAAAAACCAGUGGUCUCGAAUCGCGUCCCUGCUGCACCGCAAAUCAGCCAAACAGUGCAAAGCCAGAUGGUGAGUUUCUAUCCCUCAAGUUAUCUCAACACCAAGUGAUCAGCCAACCUGGACAUCACUUUUCAGCAUCAUAGGCACCGACAGGCCACAUGCUCCCCGUCUACAAACACA